rnacentral:rRNA from 1 species
GGUGACUGCGUACCUUUUGUAUAAUGGGUCAGCGACUUAUAUUCUGUAGCAAGGUUAACCGUAUAGGGGAGCCGGAGGGAAACCGAGUCUUAACCGGGCGUUAAGUUGCAGGGUAUAGACCCGAAACCCGGUGAUCUAGCCAUGGGCAGGUUGAAGGUUGGGUAACACUAACUGGAGGACCGAACCGACUAAUGUUGAAAAAUUAGCGGAUGACCUGUGGCUGGGGGUGAAAGGCCAAUCAAACCGGGAGAUAGCUGGUUCUCCCCGAAAGCUAUUUAGGUAGCGCCUCGUGAAUUCAUCUCCGGGGGUAGAGCACUGUUUCGGCUAGGGGGUCAUCCCGACUUACCAACCCGAUGCAAACUGCGAAUACCGGAGAAUGUUAUCACGGGAGACACACGGCGGGUGCUAACGUCCGUCGUGAAGAGGGAAACAACCCAGACCGCCAGCUAAGGUCCCAAAGUCAUGGUUAAGUGGGAAACGAUGUGGGAAGGCCCAGACAGCCAGGAUGUUGGCUUAGAAGCAGCCAUCAUUUAAAGAAAGCGUAAUAGCUCACUGGUCGAGUCGGCCUGCGCGGAAGAUGUAACGGGGCUAAACCAUGCACCGAAGCUGCGGCAGCGACACUCAGGUGUUGUUGGGUAGGGGAGCGUUCUGUAAGCCUGCGAAGGUGGCCUGUGAGGGUUGCUGGAGGUAUCAGAAGUGCGAAUGCUGACAUAAGUAACGAUAAAGCGGGUGAAAAGCCCGCUCGCCGGAAGACCAAGGGUUCCUGUCCAACGUUAAUCGGGGCAGGGUGAGUCGACCCCUAAGGCGAGGCCGAAAGGCGUAGUCGAUGGGAAACGGGUUAAUAUUCCCGUACUUGGUGUUACUGCGAAGGGGGGACGGAGAAGGCUAUGUUGGCCGGGCGACGGUUGUCCCGGUUUAAGCGUGUAGGUGUGUGUUCCAGGUAAAUCCGGUUCACUUUAACACUGAGGCGUGAUGACGAGGCACUACGGUGCUGAAGCAACAAAUGCCCUGCUUCCAGGAAAAGCCUCUAAGCAUCAGGUAACAUCAAAUCGUACCCCAAACCGACACAGGUGGUCAGGUAGAGAAUACCAAGGCGCUUGAGAGAACUCGGGUGAAGGAACUAGGCAAAAUGGUGCCGUAACUUCGGGAGAAGGCACGCUGACACGUAGGUGAAGUGAUUUACUCAUGGAGCUGAAGUCAGUCGAAGAUACCAGCUGGCUGCAACUGUUUAUUAAAAACACAGCACUGUGCAAACACGAAAGUGGACGUAUACGGUGUGACGCCUGCCCGGUGCCGGAAGGUUAAUUGAUGGGGUCAGCGCAAGCGAAGCUCCUGAUCGAAGCCCCGGUAAACGGCGGCCGUAACUAUAACGGUCCUAAGGUAGCGAAAUUCCUUGUCGGGUAAGUUCCGACCUGCACGAAUGGCGUAAUGAUGGCCAGGCUGUCUCCACCCGAGACUCAGUGAAAUUGAACUCGCUGUGAAGAUGCAGUGUACCCGCGGCAAGACGGAAAGACCCCGUGAACCUUUACUAUAGCUUGACACUGAACAUUGAGCCUUGAUGUGUAGGAUAGGUGGGAGGCUUUGAAGCGUGGACGCCAGUCUGCGUGGAGCCGACCUUGAAAUACCACCCUUUAAUGUUUGAUGUUCUAACGUGGACCCGUGAUCCGGGUUGCGGACAGUGUCUGGUGGGUAGUUUGACUGGGGCGGUCUCCUCCUAAAGAGUAACGGAGGAGCACGAAGGUUGGCUAAUCCUGGUCGGACAUCAGGAGGUUAGUGCAAUGGCAUAAGCCAGCUUGACUGCGAGCGUGACGGCGCGAGCAGGUGCGAAAGCAGGUCAUAGUGAUCCGGUGGUUCUGAAUGGAAGGGCCAUCGCUCAACGGAUAAAAGGUACUCCGGGGAUAACAGGCUGAUACCGCCCAAGAGUUCAUAUCGACGGCGGUGUUUGGCACCUCGAUGUCGGCUCAUCACAUCCUGGGGCUGAAGUAGGUCCCAAGGGUAUGGCUGUUCGCCAUUUAAAGUGGUACGCGAGCUGGGUUUAGAACGUCGUGAGACAGUUCGGUCCCUAUCUGCCGUGGGCGCUGGAGAACUGAGGGGGGCUGCUCCUAGUACGAGAGGACCGGAGUGGACGCAUCACUGGUGUUCGGGUUGUCAUGCCAAUGGCACUGCCCGGUAGCUAAAUGCGGAAGAGAUAAGUGCUGAAAGCAUCUAAGCACGAAACUUGCCCCGAGAUGAGUUCU